AUGUUGGGUUAAGUCCCGCAACGAGCGCAACCCUUAUUACUAGUUGCCAGCAUUCAGUUGGGCACUCUAGUGAGACUGCCGGUGACAAACCGGAGGAAGGUGUGGAUGACGUCAAAUCAUCAUGCCCCUUAUGACCUGGGCUACACACGUGCUACAAUGGCGUAUACAACGAGUUGCCAACCCGCGAGGGUGAGCUAAUCUCUUAAAGUACGUCUCAGUUCGGAUUGUAGGCUGCAACUCGCCUACAUGAAGUCGGAAUCGCUAGUAAUCGC
rnacentral:rRNA from 1 species